CAGCCGUAAACAAUGUGCGUUAGGUGUGUCGGUAACCACGUGUUACUGAUGCGCCGAAGAGAAAUCGUGAAACGCACCACCUGGGAAGUACGGUCGCAAGGCUGAAACUUAAAGGAAUUGGCGGGGGAGCACCACAACAGGUGGAGCCUGCGGUUUAAUUGGAUUCAACGCCGGACAUCUCACCGGAUAAGACAGCUGAAUGAUUGUCAAUCUGAAGGUGUUACAUGACUAGCUGAGAGGUGGUGCAUGGCGUCAGUGACU
rnacentral:rRNA from 1 species